CUAUCCAGUGUGUUCAGACACAACAAUGGGUACAAUCAGUAGUAGCAGGAAUAUUAAGAGAAGGAAUGUCCGGCAUACUGCCUCAAGAAAUAAGAGAAACAAUACUAAGGGAUAGCUCCACUACACAAUUUGAAAAAGACCACCAAGCUUGGUGGCAACUGGUUAACUUUACUUAUGAUCCACAACAGGAACACAUUGAAACCUAUGUCCUCACUAUUAGUGCUGCAGAAGAAAGAGCAAUAUUUCCUAUUUUAACAUUAGGAGCUAUACAUCAGAAUGUCAUUGUCAAACCUGUAGACCAUAAUGUCUGGGCAAACUAUGACAGUACUAAGAACAAGUGGCAAUCAAUUAGUACAGAAGCAUGUAUCCCUAAAGGGCAAUUAGGUUAUAUUUGCGAAAAUGCCAUUAUAGAAGUUGAAGACUUAUGCUUAGAUGCUGAAGACAGUGUAUGUACCUUUGAAAUGCUUCCACACAAUAGAACAGAGCGGAAGAG